AUAUUUUAUUUCAGUUCAUGAAAUGGGACCAACACUUUACAUGUUGGGUUUAUAUAUUUUUUUCAGUAUAGGUAGGUCGUGAAUGGUCUCUCUCCAGUACAGUAGGUGGCAGUGUAUGCUCCGCCAAAGCAAUCCAAAAGAAGAAGUAUUUUUGUCCUCGUCUGGGGCGGCAAACGAGCGAAGUGGAGCUCCUUUUUAAAAACUUUUGUUCAAACCUUACAUGUUGCUGUGUAUUGACUAAAGGAGAUGAUUCGCAUGGAUGGAAAUGACCGAAACCAAUGUGGUUCAGCAUAUCUCAACGAGUCCGGUGUCCUUGAAGUCGAGAUGCAUGCUGACAAAGUGUGUCGGCAUCGCAUCGUGUCCGAUGUCCUUGAUGAACUCACAUGAUGGGGCGUCUAUUGAGACCAGAUACAUGACGACAAUGAAGGGGCAAAGCAUAGAAAUAUAUUGACAGAUUCUAUUUCUGUUAGAAAUAGAUCCCUCUCACCGCUGCUGUAAUUAGCCUACCUGAAUUGUUGGAGAGAAGUUUCCAAAGCCAUCUGUUUGAACCCCCAGGAGGUGAUGCCCCUCUGUGCUCCUCUUCAGCCCAGUGGGUUCUGACUCAUCAGUUGAUGCACUUCCUCUCUUGUGUUAGGUUUUGUACCACUUCCUGGUUCCAACGCUUGUCCUGAUGGAGUGAAGGAGCAGAAUCAAACUAACCGUUGAUGUUUUGACUGAUGUAUAUUCAUAGAAAUAGAUUAAAUGUAAUCUAUAGUGGUGUAUUGUCAUCAGGAGAACCAUUUGUCAAAGAUUCAGUGAAGUAUGAUAUUAUCCACUUACUCAAGGAGAAGGUAGCAAGCUAUAAGCAUGAGAAUGCUCUUGCAGGGGGCUCUGUAAUGCUCAUAUCACAUUUGUAUGAAUGUAUUUCUGGAAUAUACUGUUCUCUUAGUGGCGUAAACUAAUGUGGCACGAUGUCAGAACUAUUUUGCCUUACAUUUGUCCAUGAUUCAUCAAUAAAACUAGUAAACAAACUUGUAUCCA